UGUACAAGCCUAAUUGAGCAAGUAGAUGUGAUUGGCACACUUUGAUUUGAUGAAUUUUAAUAAAUUAGAAAUUAGGGUUUAUGGCACUUAGGGUUUGUGAACCAAAUUUUGAAGAAAGGCAUAAAUGAUAUCUUUGACCACUUGUGAACUGAAAAAUGGUCAAUAAUGACCAAAGGAAAUGUGUGGGAAUUAUUAGCAUGGAAGACAAAUUCGUAGGUCAAUUGGUCAUGCUGCUGGCAGCAUGACCAAACCUAUUUUGAAGGACCAAAACGGGAAUUUUACAAGCCCAAUUGAUAUGCCACCAAUUAGGAAUGAAAAUAGACAUAAAAGGGCACAAUUUUCAUUAAGGAACCAUGCCCAAAAACUGACUAAAACUUGGUGAACCAAUUGACCAAAGUGAAAUGAGAGCAGACUGCCACUGCACCAAACUGACCAAAUGAACAGUAACUGUUCAUUUGGUUAUAAUUCAAGCUAGACAAGUCAAAUUGACCUGAAAUUUUACCAGAAAUUAGAUAAGAUAUAGACCUAAAACUUUUAUGAAGAAUACCAUCCCAAAUUAUGCCAUUAACCUAGUCAAAUUAUUGAGCAAAGUGGAGUUACUGUACCUGCGAUUCUGCAGAAUUGCCAUUGAGCAGUAAAGUUCCAAUGGUUAUAACUCUCUCUAGAAAACUCCGAUUUAGGCGAUUCUUGAACCGAUGGAAACCUAAGACAUAGUAGAAAAUUUCAUAUGAAGAAAGUUAGACCAAAUUAUGAAUUUAACUUGAUCAAAUUACUGAACAAAGUUGGACCAAAAAUCUGCCAGAACCAAAAUCUCAGCAUGAAUAGUGCACGUGAACAGUAACUGUAAUUUGGCUAUAACUUGAGCUACAAAAUUCCGAUUGGGGUGAUCCAAAAAUGAGAAUACACCUAAGACAAUAAGGAACAUUUUCUAUGAAGGAAUUUUUGCCAAAUUCCAACAGUAGAUUGACCAAUGGAACAGUGCAACUUCGGAGCACCAAAAUCGAAAAUUGGUAAUUUUGCGAAAAUGACCUAAGCUUUGAGAAAAUGGCCAAAACCAACAAGUUUAGUGACCAAAAUGUGGUAUGUGGGUGAAGUUGGAAUUCCCAUACCUAUUAAGCCUUAGAAAGUCAACUAUUUGACUUGAAUAGUGUAGUGAAUAGUAACCCGAAACGCAAAAUUUAAAGAACGUCAAAUUUAGCACGUUAGUGCUAGGUAAUUGUGAAGCUAAAUUUAUUUUGUUUUUUUGUUAAGUUCUAGUACUGAAACAUUGUAAAAUUGUGUGUUUCAGUUGAAAAGAAUAUCGGGAAGGAACCCGAGGAACCGAGUCGAGGCUAAGGGACGACUCGCUUGAGAUAAGAGCAAGGAAAAAGCAGCAGAGUGAGCUGCGAUUAAAUCGAGGAUUACAUUGAUCUUUUGUACGGGUAUUAUUUUAUGCCCUUGUAGAUAAAUUUUGAUGUAAAUAUGGAAAUGUUGUAUGUAUCAAUAUAAAGUCGAGCAGUUGUAAAUAAAUUGUAAUAAUAUUAUUUUGGAUUUUCUUCUGUAAAUUUAAUAUUUGUAUAUAUGAAUUUCCUGCUUUAUGUUUUGUGAA